UCAUCGUAGGGUUAGUCGGGACCUAAGUCGAGUCCGAAAGGGGUAGACGAUGGAAAAAAGGUUAAUAUUCCUUUACCAACAAUUGAGCGUGAUGUGGGGACGCAUAGAGUUAGACGAGGUCGCUGAUGGAAUAGCGGCUCGAAGGAUGUAGGUUGUAUCUUAGGCAAAUCCGGGAUGCAUUAAGACCGAAAUCUGACAGGCUAAAUAAUACUUUCGAGUAGCAUUUAGAAUCGUUGAUACUGUCGUGCCUAGAAAAGCCACUAAGCAUAUCAAUUGUUGCCCGUACCGUAAACCGACACGGGUGGGUGAGAUGAGUAUUCUAAGGCGCGUGGAAGAACUCUGGUUAAGGAACUCUGCAAACUAGCACCGUAAGUUCGCGAUAAGGUGUGCCUGAGUAAUCAGGUCUCAGCAAAGAGUCCCUCCCGACUGUUUAC
rnacentral:rRNA from 1 species